rnacentral:rRNA from 1 species
AUUGAACGCUGGCGGCAUGCCUUACACAUGCAAGUCGAACGGCAGCACGGGAGCAAUCCUGGUGGCGAGUGGCGAACGGGUGAGUAAUGUAUCGGAACGUGCCCAGUCGUGGGGGAUAACGCAGCGAAAGCUGUGCUAAUACCGCAUACGAUCUAUGGAUGAAAGCGGGGGAUCGCAAGACCUCGCGCGAUUGGAGCGGCCGAUAUCAGAUUAGGUAGUUGGUGGGGUAAAGGCCCACCAAGCCUGCGAUCUGUAGCUGGUCUGGGAGGACGAUCAGCCACACUGGGACUGAGACACGGCCCAGACUCCUACGGGAGGCAGCAGUGGGGAAUUUUGGACAAUGGGCGCAAGCCUGAUCCAGCAAUGCCGCGUGCAGGAUGAAGGCCUUCGGGUUGUAAACUGCUUUUGUACGAGACGAAGAGACUCGCUCUAAUACAGUGGGUACAUGACGGUAUCGUAAGAAUAAGCACCGGCUAACUACGUGCCAGCCGCCGCCGUAA